rnacentral:rRNA from 1 species
AUUGAACGCUGGCGGCAGGCCUAACACAUGCAAGUCGAACGCGUGGCGGACGGGUGUGUCAUGUCUGGGAACCUGCCCGAUGGAGGGGGAUAACUACUGGAACCGGUAGCUAAUACCGCAUACCAUCGGAUUUGCCCAGAUGGGAUUAGCUAGUAGGUGGGGUAACGGCUCACCUAGGCCACGAUCCCUAGCUGGUCUGAGAGGAUGACCAGCCACACUGGAACUGAGACACGGUCCAGACUCCUACGGGAGGCAGCAGUGGGGAAUAUUGCACAAUGGGCGAAAGCCUGAUGCAGCCAUGCCGCGUGUAUGAAGAAGGCCUUCGGGUUGUAAAGUACUUUCAGCGAGGAGGCGGUACUCGCAGAAGAAGCACCGGCUAACUCCGUGCCAGCAGCCGCGGUAAUAC